GAUGAACGCUAGCGGGAGGCCUAACACAUGCAAGCCGAGCGGUAGAGUUUCUUCGGAAACUUGAGAGCGGCGCACGGGUGCGUAACACGUGUGCAACCUACCUUUAUCUGGGGGAUAGCCUUUCGAAAGGAAGAUUAAUACCCCAUAAUAUAAUGAUUGGCAUCAAUUAUUAUUGAAAACUCCGGUGGAUAGAGAUGGGCACGCGCAAGAUUAGAUAGUUGGUGAGGUAACGGCUCACCAAGUCAAUGAUCUUUAGGGGUCCUGAGAGGCAGAUCCCCCAGACUGGUACUGAGACCCAGACCAGACUCCUACGGGGGGCAGCAGUAAGGAAUAUUGGACAAUGAGGGAGAGCCUGAUCCAGCCAUCCCGCGUGAAAGAUGACGGUCCUAGGGAUUGUAAACUUCUUUUGUACAGAGAUAAACCUACCCUCGUGAGGGUAGCUGAAGGUACUGUACGAAUAAGCACCGGCUAACUCCGUG
rnacentral:rRNA from 1 species